UGAGCCAGUACAGGAUGGACCCGCGUCUGAUUAGCUAGUUGGUAAGGUAACGGCUUACCAAGGCGACGAUCAGUAGCCGACCUGAGAGGGUGAUCGGCCACAUUGGAACUGAGACACGGUCCAAACUCCUACGGGAGGCAGCAGUGGGGAAUAUUGCACAAUGGGCGAAAGCCUGAUGCAGCAACGCCGCGUGAGUGAUGAAGGCCUUCGGGUCGUAAAACUCUGUCCUCAAGGAAGAUAAUGACGGUACUUGAGGAGGAAGCCCCGGCUAACUACGUGCCAGCAGCCGCGGUAAUACGUAGGGGGCUAGCGUUAUCCGGAUUUACUGGGCGUAAAGGGUGCGUAGGCGGUCUUUCAAGUCAGGAGUGAAAGGCUACGGCUCAACCGUAGUAAGCUCUUGAAACUGGGAGACUUGAGUGCAGGAGAGGAGAGUGGAAUUCCUAGUGUAGCGGUGAAAUGCGUAGAUAUUAGGAGGAACACCAGUUGCGAAGGCGGCUCUCUGGACUGUAACUGACGCUGAGGCACGAAAGCGUGGGGAGCAAACAGGAUUAGAUACCCUGGUAGUCCACGCUGUAAACGAUGAGUACUAGGUGUCGGGGGUUACCCCCUUCG
rnacentral:rRNA from 1 species